rnacentral:misc_RNA from 1 species
GAUGAAGACGCAGCGAAAUGCGAUACGUAAUGUGAAUUGCAAAUUCAGUGAAUCAUCGAGUCUUUGAACGCACAUUGCGCCCCCUGGUAUUCCGGGGGGCAUGCCUGUCCGAGCGUCAUUGCUGCCCUCAAGCACGGCUUGUGUGUUGGGCCCCGUCCUCCGAUCCCGGGGGACGGGCCCGAAAGGCAGCGGCGGCACCGCGUCCGGUCCUCGAGCGUAUGGGGCUUUGUCACCCGCUCUGUAGGCCCGGCCGGCGCUUGCCGAUCAACCCAAAUUUUUAUCCAGGUUGACCUCGGAUCAGGUAGGGAUACCCGCUGAACUUAAGCAUAUCAUAAGCGGAGGA